UACGGAGGGUGCGAGCGUUGUCCGGAAUCAUUGGGCGUAAAGGGCGCGUAGGUGGCCCCUCAAGCGUGCGGUGAAAGUCAGGGGCUCAACCCCUGAUCGGCCGUGCGAACUGGGGAGCUUGAGCACUGUAGAGGCAGGCGGAAUUCCGGGUGUAGCGGUGGAAUGCGUAGAGAUCCGGAAGAACACCGGUGGCGAAGGCGGCCUGCUGGGCAGUUUGCUGACACUGAGGCGCGACAGCGUGGGGAGCAACAGG
rnacentral:rRNA from 1 species